rnacentral:rRNA from 1 species
AGCGACCUCACAUCAGGUGAGAGUACCCGCUGAAUUUUAGCAUAUUAAUAAGCGGAAAAAAGAAACU